rnacentral:rRNA from 1 species
CGCAAGCCUGACGGAGCAACGCCGCGUGUGGGAAGAAGGCUCUUGGGCUGUCAACCGCUUUUCUCUGGGAAGAUGAUGACGGUACCAGAGGAAUCAGCCUCGGCUAACUCCGUGCCAGCAGCCGCGGUAAUACGGAGGAGGCAAGCGUUAUCCGGAAUUAUUGGGCGUAAAGCGUCCGUAGGUGGUUAUUCAAGUCUGCUGUCAAAGCGUGGGGCUUAACUCCAUAGAGGCAGUGGAAACUGGUUGACUAGAGUGCGGUAGGGGUCGAGGGAAUUCCCAGUGUAGCGGUGAAAUGCGUAGAUAUUGGGAAGAACACCAGUGGCGAAAGCGCUCGACUGGGCCUGCACUGACACUGAGGGACGAAAGCUAGGGGAGCG